AUCAUCUUUCGCCUAAAUUUGUUAACAGAUUUUUCUCGAAUUCGAGGACGAUAAUGUUAUUAUCAGCUAAUUAUAGAGGAGAAGUUUUGUCAGUGUCCGAUGGGUACAAACGUCAUAUUGUGGAGCCUGCAUCACUUUUGCAUCGCAGAAGUACAAGAGAACCAGGCAGUAACACAGAUGAAAGAUGCUGUUGCUGAAAGAUCCAGUCAAGCACAUAAGACUAAACUGACUUUGAAUGAUCAACCUCCUUAAAAAUGCAAAUCAAAUACAGGUUUUUGUCAGCUUAUCUGGAAAUCUUAGGACAUCACUGAUUUGAUCAAGAACUCAUCCAGCGUGAAGACCAGCCAUGUGCCUCACUUGUCAUGACAUUAUUAAAGCACUUUGUGACAGUGGGAAGAUGGGAUUUCAAACAUGACAUGGCUCUAUAUUACUGCAUCAAAGACCAAUCCAGGUUUACGUAUAAAGUGAAGGAAA